rnacentral:ncRNA from 2 species
UAAUUUGAAAACCUCCGAGCCUGGUUUUCUAAGGGCUCAUGCCUAUGAAUCCAGGCCGAUAGGGUCAAGAGGGAAACUUCUUGGCCUCCCGUGUUUGGAAAGGAGGGAUGGUUGUGUUGCU